rnacentral:rRNA from 1 species
AACGAACGCUGGCGGCAUGCCUAACACAUGCAAGUCGAACGAAGGCUUCGGCCUUAGUGGCGCACGGGUGCGUAACGCGUGGGAAUCUGCCCUUAGGUUCGGAAUAACAGUUAGAAAUGACUGCUAAUACCGGAUGAUGACGUAAGUCCAAAGAUUUAUCGCCUGAGGAUGAGCCCGAGUAGGAUUAGCUAGUUGGUGUGGUAAAGGCGCACCAAGGCGACGAUCCUUAGCUGGUCUGAGAGGAUGAUCAGCCACACUGGGACUGAGACACGGCCCAGACUCCUACGGUAGGCAGCAGUGGGGAAUAUUGGACAAUGGGCGCAAGGCUGAUCCAGCUAUGCCGCGUGAGUGAUGAAGGCCUUAGGGUUGUAAAGCUCUUUUACCCGUGAUGAUAAUGACAGUAGCGGAAGAAUAAGCCCCGGCUAACUCCGUG